rnacentral:rRNA from 1 species
AUUGAACGCUGGCGGCAGGCCUAACACAUGCAAGUCGAGCGGGGUUUUCGGACCUAGCGGCGGACGGGUGAGUAAUGCGUAGGAAGAUGCCCGAUAGAGGGGGAUACCAGUUGGAAACGACCGUUAAUACCGCAUAAUGUCUACGGACCAAAGUGUGGGACCUUCGGGCCACAUGCUAUCGGAUGCGCCUACGUGGGAUAGCUAGUUGGUGAGGUAAUGGCUCACCAAGGCGACGAUCUCUAGCUGGUUUGAGAGGAUUAUCAGCCACACAGGAACUGAGACACGGUCCAGACUCCUACGGGAGGCAGCAGUGGGGAAUAUUGGACAAUGGGCGCAAGCCUGAUCCAGCCAUGCCGCGUGUGUGAAGAAGGCCUUCGGGUCGUAAAGCACUUUCAGCGAGGAGGAAGGGUGGUGUGUUAAUAGCACAUCAUUUUGACGUUACUCGCAGAAGAAGCACCGGCUAACUCUGUGCCAGCCGCCGCCGUAACAC